rnacentral:tRNA from 1 species
GCGCGGGUGGCGAAAUUGGUAGACGCACUACCUUGAGGUGGUAGCGCCGCAAGGCUUGGAGGUUCAAAUCCUCUCCCGCGCACAA